GAUGAACGCUGGCGGCGUGCCUAAUACAUGCAAGUCGAGCGAACAGAUGAGGAGCUUGCUCCUCUGACGUUAGCGGCGGACGGGUGAGUAACACGUGGAUAACCUACCUAUAAGACUGGGAUAACUUCGGGAAACCGGAGCUAAUACCGGAUAAUAUAUUGAACCGCAUGGUUCAAUAGUGAAAGACGGUUUUGCUGUCACUUAUAGAUGGAUCCGCGCCGCAUUAGCUAGUUGGUAAGGUAACGGCUUACCAAGGCAACGAUGCGUAGCCGACCUGAGAGGGUGAUCGGCCACACGGGAAGUGAGACACGGUCCAGACUCCUACGGGAGGCAGCAGUAGGGAAUCUUCCGCAAUGGGCGAAAGCCUGACGGAGCAACGCCGCGUGAGUGAUGAAGGUCUUCGGAUCGUAAAACUCUGUUAUUAGGGAAGAACAAAUGUGUAAGUAACUAUGCACGUCUUGACGGUACCUAAUCAGAAAGCCACGGCUAACUACGUG
rnacentral:rRNA from 1 species